rnacentral:rRNA from 1 species
UACGUAGGGCGCAAGCGUUGUCCGGAAUUAUUGGGCGUAAAGAGCUCGUAGGCGGUUUGUCGCGUCUGCUGUGAAAACCUAAGGCUCAACCUUGGGCUUGCAGUGGGUACGGGCAGACUAGAGUGCGGUAGGGGUGACUGGAAUUCCUGGUGUAGCGGUGGAAUGCGCAGAUAUCAGGAGGAACACCGGUGGCGAAGGCGGGUCUCUGGGCCGAUACUGACGCUGAGACGCGAAAGCGUGGGGAGCGAACAGG